GCCCUAGUAACGGCGAGUGAAGCGGCAACAGCUCAAAUUUGAAAUCUGGCGUAAGCCCGAGUUGUAAUUUGUAGAGGAUGCUUCUGGGUAGCGACCGAUCUAAGUUCCUUGGAACAGGACGUCAUAGAGGGUGAGAAUCCCGUAUGUGACCGGCCCGCACCCUUUACGUAGCUCCUUCGACGAGUCGAGUUGUUUGGGAAUGCAGCUCUAAAUGGGAGGUAAAUUUCUUCUAAAGCUAAAUACCGGCCAGAGACCGAUAGCGCACAAGUAGAGUGAUCGAAAGAUGAAAAGUACUUUGGAAAGAGAGUUAAAAAGCACGUGAAAUUGUUGAAAGGGAAGCGCCUGCAACCAGACUUCGUGGCAGUGUUCCGCCGGUCUUCUGACCGGUUUAUUCUCUGUCGCGAGGCCAUCAUCGUCUAGGCCCGCCGGAUAAGACCUUAGGAAUGUAGCUCACCUUCGGGGGAGUGUUAUAGCUUAUGGUGAUGCGGCGAGGCUUGGGCGAGGUCCGCGCUUCGGCAAGGAUGAUGGCGUAAUGGUUGUCGGCGGCCCGUCUUGAAACACGGACCAAGGAGUCUAACAUCUAUGCGAGUGUUCGGGUGUCAAACCCCUACGCGUAAUGAAAGUGAACGGAGGUGGGAACCGCAAGGUGCACCAUCGACCGAUCCUGAUGUCCUCGGAUGGAUUUGAGUAAGAGCAUAGCUGUUGGGACCCGAAAGAUGGUGAACUAUGCCUGAAUAGGGUGAAGCCAGAGGAAACUCUGGUGGAGGCUCGCAGCGGUUCUGACGUGCAAAUCGAUCGUCAAA
rnacentral:rRNA from 1 species